rnacentral:rRNA from 1 species
CCUACGGGGGACAGCAGUGGGGAAUAUUGCACAAUGGGGGAAACCCUGAUGCAGCAACGCCGCGUGAGUGAAGAAGUAUUUCGGUAUGUAAAGCUCUAUCAGCAGGGAAGAAGAUGACGGUAUCUGAAUACGAAGCCCCGGCUAACUACGUGCCAGCAGCCGCGGUAAUACGUAGGGGGCAAGCGUUAUCCGGAUUUACUGGGUGUAAAGGGAGCGCAGACGGCAGUGCAAGUCUGGAGUGAAAGCCCGGGGCCGAACCCCGGAACUGCUCCGGAAACUGGGCGGCGAGAGUACUGGAGGGGGAGGCGGAAUGCCUAGUGUAGCGGUGAAAUGCGUAGAUAUUAGGAGGAACACCAGUGGCGAAGGCGGCCUGCUGGACAAUAACUGACGUUGAGGCGCGAAAGCGUGGGGAGCAAACAGGAUUAGAUACCCGUGUAGUC